GGAAAGGAUGACGAAUACGAAAAAACGCAUAUGAAAAUUUCGGACUCAGUGUGCAAGGACCUUAACUCUCUAUGCUCUUGAGAUUUAUAAUGGAACCAGAGCGAUUCUUACUGUAAAUGUCCAGGCACUAAACCCUGCCUGUGUGGUCUGGGUUUUUUUUUCUUUGCUUUGGUGAGUGAGUGUGUUCAGCCUGCCUACCUGAUCAGAUUGAAGUGUACGGCACUGUGUUAAGAGAAUGCACAGGUGAACCUGACCCGAGAUCAGUUUGCCAGCAGAGGGACCAAAGGGGGAAAGGCAGAGGCUGUUUAUGCUGAUCUAGAAACAGUUCUACUAUUCAUACU